rnacentral:rRNA from 1 species
UACGUAGGCAGCAAGCGUUGUUCGGAGUUACUGGGCGUAAAGGGUGUGUAGGCGGUUUUUUAAGUUUGGUGUGAAAUCUCCCGGCUCAACUGGGAGGGUGCGCCGAAUACUGAAAGACUAGAGUGCGGGAGAGGAAAGUGGAAUUCCUGGUGUAGCGGUGAAAUGCGUAGAUAUCUGGAGGAACACCGGUGGCGAAGGCGGCAUCCCGGACCGACACUGACGCUGAGGAGCGAAAGCCAGGGGAGCAAACGGG